rnacentral:lncRNA from 1 species
CGGCCAAGUGAUAAUCUUUGCAUUUGGCGUUUUUCGUUCUCCCGCUCGGGCUUUCCCUGCGAAAGUGGGCACCUGGCUUAUCGGGAAACACUUCUUUUCCCCUCCUGUAGAUAUUUUUGAAUAUCCGAGCGUGCUUUUGUGGCCAAAGGUGUUCUCGAUGCCUAGUCUAAUCUUUUACCCCAAAUUUUAUCUAAAAUUUUACCCCAAAUCAGUCUUGCAUGUUUGGUUACCCUGGGGUUUCAUUGUGGAAUUUCUUUUAUUUGUUAUUAGUAUCUUUGAAGUUAGUCCCAGCACCCAACACUUUUCAAAUAAACUUCUUCAAACAGAAACUACUCCGCAGUCAGAUGUGCUAAUUCAAGUCCUUGCCUCCCUCCCAUUCUACACUUCCUUUCUUUGUUCCCAAUUUAUUCUCAGUUCAUGGGUGCUGUACUUAGUAGUCUGAAGACAGUGAGUUCUCAACUCAGGUGUGCUGCUAAUGAGCUGUGUGACUUAAGGAAAAUCAAAUAACCUCUCUGGACUUCAGUUGUCAGAUCUGUAGAGUAAGGAUGACUGGAUUAGAGGUUCAACAGAUUUAUUAGACAUAUGUUAACUUUAAGGGCCCUGCCAGUUGUAAAAUUUUAAAAUGUCUCAUCAUACUUAUCCGUAUUAAAUGACUUUCUGAAAUGAUCUCUCAAAUUUUAAUCUUUCUUUCCAUCAUUACUGACAGAAUGCUGGUAUGCUUUCUGUACGACUUUCUAGAUUAUCUGGACCUGUACUACAGUAUUUCCCUACAUAGUUCCCAAGAAUCUUUUCUUCACUUUCCUCCAAACAGGAUUUUAUGUUUCAGUAUCUCCCACUGAAAAUGGUCCAGCUAAGUCUCUUUUUUCUUACAAAUCUUCCCUUCAACUUCAGUCCACUUUAAUUACUUAGAACUUGCACUGAAAAUAUGCUAUGUGUAUUAUUUUAUAUGUUUCCCCUUUUGCCUCUGACCCCCCUCCAUCCACCCACCACCCACAUCUCAACUAUACCAAGAGGAAACUUUAUACUUUUUUUAACACAUUAAAAAAAGCAUUAUACUUUGUUAAUGCUUCCUUCAUAUUUGCUAGGGUUUUUUUUUUUUUUUUUUACUUUCAACUGCUCUGUAAACUGCAUUUCCACUUUAAAAUCUCUCAUUCAUCCCUUUUUCCUCUUUUUAGUCAUUAAGCAUAUGCCAAAUUGUUUUAGUUUCAAGAGAUGUUAAUAAGAGUUAAAAUGGGGAAAAAAAUCUGAGUUUAGUUGUCAAAUGAGUUGGGGGAAAAGCUGAUUAAAUAAAAUUAAAUAGUUCUUUUACGUAAUACCUCACUGCCUUUAAUAUGCUUGGCAUUUCCCAAAGUUACUUGACCAUGGACUGAAUCUGUUUAUGCUUGUGAAACAUUUUGCCUCAUUAGCGUUCCACAGAAUGGACUGGUAAACAGGCUUCAAAGCUUGGAGGAAGCCCUGUGUAGUGGAAAGAACACGGUUAUUUGGAACCAGACAAAAGUAAGUUUUAAUCCAUUUCACUACUUUCUGGCAUCAUGACUUUAAUCGAAUUACUUCACUCUCUCAGCCUGUUUUCUCAUCUAAAAAGAAAGGAUAGUGCUACUUCUUUUCCUUGCAGAGCUGUUGCAAAGAUUAAAAAGAAGUAUGUGCCCAGCGCAGGAUUUCAUUAGUGUUCUACCUAUGUGAUCCAUCAUUAGUUAUUUUGUUUAACGGCCUAGAAAAUGAUAAUAACUAGUAUGGACCCUCAUGCUUCCAUUUGGAACAUUUUAUUCAAGAGGUGAUAUUUCAGAACUAACCCAGCAUCCUGGGAACAACAGACAGCCAUCUGAUUUCAGAGAAUUUAUUUUAUUUUAUUUUAUUUUAUUUUUAGGACCGCACCCACGGCAUGUUAAGGUUCCCAGGCUAGGGGUGGAAUCAGAGCUGUAGCCGCCAGCGUACACCACAGCCACAGCAAUGCCGGAUCCUUAACCCAAUGAGUGAGGCCAGGGAUCAGACCUGCAUCCUCAAGGAUGCUAGUCAGAUUUGUUUCCGCUGAGCCAUGAUGGGAACUCUCUGAUUUCAGAGAAUUUAGAACCUUAUUGAAAUGUUCUGAAUUAGAUCUUAUUUGUUUCGCAAAGUAAUGGGGUAAAACUUGAUAUUUUAGCAACAAAAACAACAACAGCAAAAUAGAGCUUGUCUGUUUAAAAUAGAAGCAACGCCUCUAUCGUAACAGCUACAUUCAAGAUGUUUGCAGAGGUUACAUUUUCAUCACUUUUAUACAGAUUAUUGGUUAUAACAAGUCAUACCCCAACCUUGUUUUUUCCAGUUGACAACAAGCUUGCUAAGUGAAGAGUCAUUUUUUCUGUUCCCUGCUACAUUUCCAGGGAUGGCAUAAUACCCAUCCUGUAAAUGAGCAUUAAGGAGUUCCCGUUGUGGCUCAGUGAAACCAGCCCAACUAGUAUCCAUGAGGGUUCAAUCCUGGACUCACUUAGUGGGUUAAGGAUCUGGCAUUGCCGCAAGCUGUGGCUUAGGUUGCAGAUACGGGCUCGGAUCUGGAGUUUCUGUGGCUGUGGUAGGCCGGCAGCUGCAGCUCUGAUUUGACUCCUAACCUGGGAUGGAACUUCUAUAUGCUGCAGGUGAGGCCAUUAAAAGAAAAAAAAAUCUGUUAAUUAGAAGAUCAUAAAGAUUUCAAAGCGUGACACACAGUCCUACUAUAGAGAUAGAGUCACGUCACGGAAACAUUAAAGGACAAAGUGACGUGUGCAGACCAAACUUGGCAGACUUGAGUAUAAUUGCAGCUGAUUUGGAAACCAUUUGUUGUACAGAAGAAAUUUCAACAAGCCAUUCGAUAACCAUUGGAGUCCUUAAAAACCAAGAGUCUUCAUUAAUUUCAUUUAAUUAAAAUCAUUUCUUUCCUUUGCUGGCAUAUUUCAAACUUGCGUAUUGUCUACUUCCAAGAGAAGAGGUGAUCUAAGACGGUCCCUCCCAACUUCAUGUCAGCCCUCAAAUUCCUCCCCAACCAUCAGGAGCUCAGAGGUCAGAAGUAGCUGGAGGAAGCCACAUCCCAUUCUAGACCAGCCUCAAGGCAGAUGCAAUAGGAUCAACCCUUCCAGCAUGUGACUUAAAGGAACAUUCUCCUGAGAAUUUCCUUGACCACGUGAAGCACUUUUGGAAGCAGGGAGUUAAAAUAGAAAAAGCAUUGAAUUCAGAGGGAGAAGAUGUAAAUGUGCAUCCUGACCCCUGACGUGACUUUGCUAUCCGUACAUCCAGGAACCAAGACCUUAAACUAUCCAAGCCACAGUUUCCUCAUCUGUUGUGAGGAUCAUGUGUAAAAAUACGCAAUAAACUUUUAACUCGUACCAAGUAUUUGCUACUGCCAACACUUUGUUGGACAUCAAGUAAUUUAGUUUAGCUGUGCAAAUAAGAGUAAUAUGUGACAGUAGAGAAAAUAUUUCUCCAUUCUUUUGGAUGACUUGUUCUAUGUAAAUAUCAGGCUGCAAUUCCAUCAUUGUAUUAAGAAUUUUUUUUUAAGUUGCUGGUAAUUGCCUUUUUUUUUUUUUGCUUUUUAGGGCCAUACCCAUGCUGUAUGGAAGUUCCCAGGCUAGGGAUCAAAUUGGAGCUAUAGCUGCCAACCUACGCUGCAGCCACAAGGGAUCCAAGCCGAAUCUGUGAUCUGCACAACAGCUCAGGGCAACGCCUGAUCCUUAACCCACUGAGCAAGGCCAGGGAUCGAACCCGAGUCCUCAUGGAUACUAGUCAAGUUUGUUAUCGCUGAGCCACGAUGGGAACUCCUGAUCAUUGACUUUUAAUGUUUAUCUGCCUAACAUAAUAAUUUCAUAGGUUAUCAACAUCAGAGGACCAUUAGAAAUUACCAAAUCCAGAUUGUUUCAAUGAGAUUUUUGCUCAAAGUUGUAUUUAGUUUUGGCAAACCUAGAUAGACAACACCCAGGCUUCCUAAGUUCCUGUCUCUCUCUCUCUUCUUUUUUUUUCACCUAGAAGAAAAUUAUCCUUUAUGACACAACUGCAAGCAAUGUAAGUAAAAUCUAUUCUCUUGCCCACUUUAAAACAUCAACAUGGAUAAUGAGACAGAAAACAAAAGAGUUGAGAUAUGAAAGAGAAAAAAAACAUUUCCAGCUUAAUGAACCAGAAAACAAAAUCUUACUCCAUAAUUGCGGCUAUUAUCUGAUGUGUUGGCAGCAAGUUAAUAGAAAGGGCACCCCAGACAAAAGAAGUUAAUGAGUGAUGUUGCUAUUUGCACAUAGUUGAGAAGCCUGGUUCAAGGAUUCAUUAUAGCAUCUAUUACCCUGUGUCCUGAUUACUCUUUAUAAGUUAUCCUCCUGACUGCAUUGUGAGCUUCGUUAGGGCAGAGACAAUGUCACUGUCAUCUUUUUCUCUCACAUUCAGCAAGGUACCAAGCAUCCAGUGUGUAUUCACACUUUUUUCUUUUUUUUUUCUUUGGCUGCACUCCUGGCAUAUGGAAGUUCUUGGGCCAGGGAUGGAAUUUAAGCCACAGCUGUGACCUAUACCACAUCUGCGGCAAUGCUGGAUCCUUAACCCACUGCGCCAUGGCAGGAACUCCAAUGUAUUCUUUUCUUUUUUUGUCUUUUGUCUUUUUAGGGCCUCACUGGUGGCAUACGGAGGUUCCCAGACUAGGGGUCUCAUUGGAGCUGCAGCCGUCGGCCUACACCACAGCCACAGCAACAGGGGAUCUGAGCCGCGUCUUCGACCUACACAACAGCUCACGGCAAUGCCAGAUCCUUAACCCACUGAGCGAGGCCAGGGAUUGAACCGGCAACUUCUUGGUUCCUAGUCAGAUUCAUUUCCACACCACAGCUCGAACUCCUAUAGGGCUGUUGUUAAAGGGAUAAAAUCAAUGGGGAUGCAUGUAAAGUGCCUGGAAUGCUAGGUGUACAAUAAAUAGUUGUUUUUUGCAUUACUUUGUUGUGUUGCGCAAUGCAGCACUAAGAGCAAACUUUCCCAGCAGGUAUAACCCAGCAACAGGCUUGUAGAGGAAAAAGAGGCUACAAGCUGGGGGUUUUCUAGCCUGCCACUUACCAUGUUACUCUAAAGACCACAAGCCUCAGAAUUCCCUUUGUGGCUCAUCAGUUAAUGAACCCAACUAGAAUCCAUGAGGUUUCAGGUUCUAUCCUUGCUCUCGCUCAAUGGGUUAAGGAUCAGACGUUGCCAUGAGCAGUCUCAGGCAUGGCUCAGAUCUGGCGUUGCUUUGGCUGUGACGUAGGCUGGCAGCUGCAGCUCCCCUAGCUUGGCAACUUCCAUAUGCUGCAGGUGCAGCCCUAGAGGCUUUGGGAGAAGCAGGACCCUGCUGACACCUUGAUUCUGAAGUCUAGCCUCCAGAACUGUGAGAGAAUAUACUCCUAGUGUUUUAAGCCACCCAGUGUGUGGUAACUUGUUACAGCAGCUCUAGGAACCCCAUAUAGGCUCCCAGACCAGAAGCCGGCACUGAGACGCAAGUUUCAGGGCAGCUACAGAAGAACACUGGUCCUUGGCUAUAAGGAUCCAAUUUGACUGCAAAACUAGCUUCUCUGUGAGGACUUUGGGAGCCCGGUCAACCUGGUACUUGCAAAAUUGGGUACUUGCAAAAUUAGUCCCUUUGGAACUAGAAAGGGACAGAGUGAGGUCUAGAGGCCUCAUCAGAGGGGCUUUCUCUUACUUUUUUCCUCUUCUCCUGCUUUUCUUCAUGGCUCCAGCUAACAUAUUUCAUCUUUGUUUAUUCUCUAGCUUCCUAAGUACCACCUUCACUGCUCAAAUGGAAGCUCUAUGAGAAAAAGGACCACAGCUGAUAUUUUUCCAGUUUUCUUUUGUGAAACUGGCAUAUGGAGAUUCUCAGGCUAAGGGUUGAAUCAUAGCUGUGGCUGUGGGCCUACACCACAGCCACAGCCACACCAGAUCCGAGGCACACCUGCGACCUACACCACAGCUCACGGCAAAACCGCAUCCUUCACCCACUGAGCAAGGCCAGGGAUCGAACCCACAACCUAAUGGUUCCUAGUUGGAUUCAUUUCCGCUGUGCCAUGACAGGAACUC